rnacentral:lncRNA from 1 species
AUGUGUGGGUGCGUGUGUGCGCGCAUGUGGGAAGGGGGUGGGCGAGGGAGUCCUGCAUUGAUUUGUAGUUUAUUUCAUUUGAAACAUGUCAUCUUUAACUUUUUGAAAAUGAGCUUGUUUAGCAUGUGGCUAAAACGUUUUCAUCCUAACUCUAAAGGGGUGACCAGCAUAGACAGUAUAACGAUUGGUUUCUCAAGUCUGGUUUUGAAGACGAGUGUUUCCAAAAAUACCGGAUGCGGUAAGGAAGGGCUGGUCUGAGUUGUUAGCCAGUAAGUACGUUCUUUCAUAUCUGUAUUAUGUAAAAAUGGUAUGACCAUAAUUUACAAAAUAGACUUAAUUUUCCAUUCAGCAUCACAUAAAAUGAGUGAUUGAACUGAUAAAAUCAGCAGGAAAACCUUUACAGUGAUUAAGACAGAAAGCUGCUCUCCCAUAGACUUCUAUAGGACCGGAGUUCUUUUUGUAACCACAAUUAUCGCCAUCUGGUGGCCUUCAGGUAGAAUGCCGAUUUAAGGCGCUUCUACAUUAGCUUCAGUUUUAAGACCCAGAAGCUAAGGUCUGUAGUCAUCAGCAACCAGGUGACUCCUAAGAGGUCACUAACAUUAUUAUUUCAAACUUACUCUGUAAUAAAGUAAAUAUUAUAACUUAUGCAACCACAACUCACUCACCUUUAUGAAAUUACUUUAUUAAAUUAAUAUGAUUGAGCUAUUUGCAGUUUUUUAUAUAUAUUUGUGGCAAUAUUUUAGGUGUUAGCAAUAUUUUUCCUUCAGCAAAUGUUUAAUGAAUCGAAGAACAUGUUGUUCCACUUAUAUACGUAGUUACUCACCCAUCUGAAACAAAAUGCUCCUUUAAGGCUUGAGUUUCUCUGCUGCUGCAUGUAUUUAUAUGUGUUCCUGCAUAGUGAUUGCACACUGUAGCAGACCGCUGCUCCGACGGAGUUCUUCUAAUCAUCUCUCACAGAAACAGAGGAAGAACGAGAUCAAUAUUUACUGAAAACGCUCUUCAACAUAACAAAUGUGUUUGUAAUCUAUGCACCGUGUGUGUGCGUGUGUGUAUUUGGUAUACCUUGGCCGUGACCGGGCCCGUCGAGGGGUGGCAGGAGGAGGAGGUGGAGGAAUGCUAAGUUCCAGGCAAUCAUGCAGACAGGCAGGAGGGCCCAUAUAGUGUAAACAUGUUUUAAAUAAACAGGAACCAGCGUAAUGCCCUUUUAAUUGAUUCAUUCUGUGCUUUGCUGUUUACAGAAGGGCCUAAAUAUGAGCCUCGUAAGGCAGAGGCCUUGUGUUUAUAAGUGAUUUGUUUGGUUCAAACAAUAACAGUUUGAACGCCAAACGUAGUUGUGGAUCAGCCCUGAUGGGAUGUGCUGUAGUACUCUCUGGCACAGCAAUUUCUCUUAUGUUUUUCAUGUACUCUUUCUUUCUCUACAUCACUUCCUUUGUGCAUGUGUGUUUCCAUUUGAGAUCUCCAUUUUAGGGGAGAAUAAAGGAGCUAAAGCAGCUCUCUACAGUGCCCCACUGUCUCCUCUUUGCAAUUUGCAGGCCGGCCAGGGUAUGCUGGUGCGUCUGUAUGUGUGACUGAAGUUUAAAUUGCAGCCACAGUGUAAUGAUAUGGUGGCAUGGCAUUGAGGGGUACUCCAAAGGGAGGGCGGGGGUUGGUAAUUAAACAUAUGCCGACACAGACACACACAGAGGGUGAGACGCGCACACACAGACACACACAGUGAGGCAGAGAAAGAGAGCAAAGCUAAACACAUCCAAGUGGGGUAGUAAAAGCUAAUGAAGGCUCAGCGCUAGGCUGGCACAGACAGCCAUUUCAUGUGGUGAAGAGGAGAAGAGGAGGAGGAGGACUGGGGCAGGCUGGGGAGCAAUAAGGCAGAGCCUUACUCUACAGAAAGUUGGGCAAACCAGAUGAUAAACUAUAAUUGACACCAUGCAUGAGCGUGGUUUUUCAAUAUCGUUUGUCUCAGGGUCUGCCAAAUCAUUGUCUGUGCAAUAGAAAAGGCAAACAAUGGCAUUAACACAUUAACAAUAAAACUAACACUCACGUGUAGGUAGCUUAUGAUGGAACUGAAGUAGUUAAGUGUCAGCUCGGGACCUUGUGGGGAAAUCAAGACCUCGGUUAAUGAUAACAGGAUAAAUGAUAAAAAUGUUAGUAGCAUAAAAGCAAUACAAAUACACAAUAACAUGUGUCAUUUGCCUUUUUAGACAAUAUCCAAAUCAUUGUGUCAUUAUGAGGUAAAAAUGUUUGGUUCCAUCUUUUGAUAAUAAACCAAAGUUUGCCGCAAUGUUUCUCAAACACACUUCAGUGCUCACAGUGUGGCCAGCGAUGUGGUUUCUUUAACGCUUUGUUUUGGGGUUUGUUUUUUUUUAAUGAAAUUUGAGCUUCAACAUUUUUUUUUUAAUUCGUUGCCUGUUCAUCUGUCUUGCAUAUGCUAACUAGGGGUUUCUGUUUGUCUCAAACCGAGGUCUGUUGCUCGUUUUAUUACAAACAAGACAUCACUUAGCAUAAGUCAGAGAAAGUUUGACAGGGACUACGUAACUAUUUUGUUUUUUAA